GCCUCGCACCGCCGGUACCGGCAGUGUCAGUGCUGCCCCCGCCUCGUGCUGCUCCGAGAGGGCGCAGGUGGCUGCCGAGCUCCGCCCGCGGGGCUGUACGCGGCGGUGCCCGCGAGUCCCGUCAGGCACCGCGGCGGGCACCGGAGGCAUCCAAAGAGAAGUUACACGCUGGCAGAGUGUUGUCUCCAAAAGAUCCUGAAUGCUUCUGGUUAAAAUCAGCUGUGUAGUGUCCUUCUUCUCCCAGGAGCCAGCAUGCCAGCAACUGCAGGGAGAUACCAGGGGCCCUGUCCUCACCUCAGUGCCUGCAGCAGGACAGCAGAGAUGGGGACAAAUCCUGUGUCACCACCCUGAGGGCUGAACCUGCAGUACUUCAAGGGACAGAGACACUGCAGCCCCCAGACAUUUGUGGCAAGGCUGGUGUCAGGAUGGAGAAGGUGCUUCCAGCCCCAUAGCCAGGCUUGGUGGGGUUUGAAGCACUGUAAUGGCAGGGGUUGCUACUGGAAAAGAGUAAAUUAAAGGAGAAAAAGAAGACAGAAA